UAAGGAAUAUUGGUCAAUGGACGCAAGUCUGAACCAGCCAUGCCGCGUGAAGGAUGAAGGUCCUCUGGAUUGUAAACUUCUUUUAUCUGGGACGAAAACGGGAUUUUUAUCUCAAUUGACGGUACCAGAGGAAUAAGCACCGGCUAACUCCGUGCCAGCAGCCGCGGUAAUACGGAGGGUGCGAGCGUUAUCCGGAUUUACUGGGUUUAAAGGGUGCGUAGGUGGGCUUAUAAGUCAGUGGUGAAAUCUCCGAGCUUAACUUGGAAACUGCCGUUGAUACUAUAGGUCUUGAAUUAUCUGGAGGUAAGCGGAAUAUGUCAUGUAGCGGUGAAAUGCUUAGAUAUGACAUAGAACACCAACUGCGAAGGCAGCUUACUACAUAUAAAUUGACGCUGAGGCACGAAAGCGUGGGGAUCAAACA
rnacentral:rRNA from 1 species